rnacentral:rRNA from 1 species
UACGUAGGGGGCAAGCGUUGUCCGGAUUUACUGGGCGUAAAGAGCGUGUAGGCGGCCAAACAGGUCCGUUGUGAAAACUGGAGGCUCACUUCCAGACGUCGACGGAAACCGUGUGGCUAGAGUCCGGAAGAGGAGAGUGGAAUUCCUGGUGUAGCGGUGAAAUGCGCAGAUAUCAGGAAGAACACCAAUGGCGAAGGCAGCUCUCUGGGACGGUACUGACGCUGAGACGCGAAAGCGUGGGGAGCGAACAGG